AACGAACGCUGGCGGCAUGCCUAACACAUGCCAGUCGAACGAGACCUUCGGGUCUAGUGGCGCACGGGUGCGUAACGCGUGGGAACCUGCCCUUAGGUUCGGAAUAACUCCCCGAAAGGGGUGCUAAUACCGGAUAAUGUCUUCGGACCAAAGAUUUAUCGCCUUUGGAUGGGCCCGCGUUGGAUUAGCUAGUUGGUAGGGUAAAUGCCUACCAAGGCGACGAUCCAUAGCUGGUCUGAGAGGAUGAUCAGCCACACUGGGACUGAGACACGGCCCAGACUCCUACGGGAGGCAGCAGUGGGGAAUAUUGGACAAUGGGCGAAAGCCUGAUCCAGCAAUGCCGCGUGAGUGAUGAAGGCCUUAGGGUUGUAAAGCUCUUUUACCCGGGAUGAUAAUGACAGUACCGGGAGAAUAAGCCCCGGCUAACUCCGUG
rnacentral:rRNA from 1 species